rnacentral:rRNA from 1 species
AUGAACGCUGGCGGCGUGCCUCAUCCAUGCCAGUCGCGCGAACAGACGAGGAGCUUGCUCCUCUGACGUUAGCGGCGGACGGGUGAGUAACACGUGGAUAACCUACCUAUAAGACUGGGAUAACUUCGGGAAACCGGAGCUAAUACCGGAUAAUAUAUUGAACCGCAUGGUUCAAUAGUGAAAGACGGUUUUGCUGUCACUUAUAGAUGGAUCCGCGCCGCAUUAGCUAGUUGGUAAGGUAACGGCUUACCAAGGCGACGAUGCGUAGCCGACCUGAGAGGGUGAUCGGCCACACUGGAACUGAGACACGGUCCAGACUCCUACGGGAGGCAGCAGUAGGGAAUCUUCCGCAAUGGGCGAAGGCCUGACGGAGCAACGCCGCGUGAGUGAUGAAGGUCUUCGGAUCGUAAAACUCUGUUAUUAGGGAAGAACAAAUGUGUAAGUAACUAUGCACGUCUUGACGGUACCUAAUCAGAAAGCCACGGCUAACUACGUG